CUUUAGUAAGAAGGGAGAGCACCAUCGGAACGGAGGUGGCUGUUGCGGUAGAGGGAGAGAGUGGGAGCGGGAUAGUGUAAAAAUAUACAAGGGGUGAAAGAAAACGAAGAAGAAAAAAAUAAAAAAAAAUUUUCUUUUUCUUGGAAGGCCAUCAUAUGCCCUUUAGUAAGAAGGGAGAGCACCAUCGGAACGGAGGUGGCUGUUGCGGUAGAGGGAGAGAGUGGGAGCGGGAUAGUGUAAAAAUAUACAAGGGGUGAA
rnacentral:lncRNA from 1 species